rnacentral:lncRNA from 1 species
CUCUUUUAUUCAGACAUUAACAGUAAGUCAGAGUCACACUAUUUUAACAGCUUCUUUUGCUUUUAGGGACUAUAACAGACCAAACAGCCAUCUAUUCAUCCAUGUAACAAAUAGGCAUUGAGCUCUUAUUAAUUCAUUCAAGAACACCUUCUAUGUACCAGGCAUUUUGCCAGGGCUGGUGAUACAAUGAUCCCGGAUUUUAUUGACAAUGAGAGAGACAGACAUAAUCACAUACAAGAGCUUGGAAGGAAAAGCACGGAGUCUGUGAGAGUGUAAAACAGGACAGUCUGUUCUGGUCUAGAGUGGCUACAAAAGCUUUCUUGAGAAAUGCUGUCUGAACUGAAGGAUGAGCAGGAAACCAUGGAGGGUAUGACGUAUAUGUGUGCACACAGGCACACACAGAAUUUUUCCAGCUAGUAGAGAAAAAGCAUGUCACCUUCUUCAAAGCUCCAGAAGAAGGACAGGAUGUGGAAGGAGGGAGGGGCAGAGAGCGUGAGGACACCAGCGCGGAGGGCACUAUGGGGCAAGUCCCUCAGCCUCCAGGGAGGAGUGAAAGGUGCCCAGCCUCAGGUGAUGUCCAUGCUGUUGGGUCUAGAACAGGCUGUUGGGAAAAGCUCACACUCAAGAUGGAACAUAGCCUCAAUCCAGCUCUCUUGAAGGAAAUGGAGAUUAUGUCUCAUCCAGGCUGGGUCCAUGGUUCUUCUCAACCUCUCUUCCUCUCUCUGCUUCCUCCUUCCCCAUCCUCCUUACCCACCUGAUUCCCUCCACCUCCUCUUCCCUUUUCUGCCAACUGUAGUUUGAGCUCAAUCAUCUUGAAGGACACCUUCCCAAAUAUUUGUUAUGGCUUUUCCUAAUGAAAUCUAGCUUGGUGGCAUUGAUAUCUAUUUGUGAAAUACUCAUUAAAGAAUCAGAAGCA